GAUGAACGCUGGCGGCGUGCUUAACACAUGCAAGUCGAACGAUGAAGCCCAGCUUGCUGGGUGGAUUAGUGGCGAACGGGUGAGUAACACGUGAGUAACCUGCCCUUAACUCUGGGAUAAGCCUGGGAAACUGGGUCUAAUACCGGAUAGGAGCGUCCACCGCAUGGUGGGUGUUGGAAAGAUUUAUCGGUUUUGGAUGGACUCGCGGCCUAUCAGCUUGUUGGUGAGGUAAUGGCUCACCAAGGCGACGACGGGUAGCUGGCCUGAGAGGGUGACCGGCCACACUGGGACUGAGACACGGACCAGACUCCUACGGGAGGCAGCAGGGGGGAAUAUUGCACAGUCGGCGCAAGCCUGAUGCAGCGACGCCGCGUGAGGGAUGACGGCCUUCGGGUUGUAAACCUCUUUCAGUAGGGAAGAAGCGAUAGUGACGGUACCUGCAGAAGAAGCACCGGCUAACUACGUG
rnacentral:rRNA from 1 species